UGGGGAAUAUUGCACAAUGGGGGAAACCCUGAUGCAGCGACGCCGCGUGAGCGAAGAAGGUUUUCGAAUCGUAAAGCUCUGUCCUAUGGGAAGAUAAUGACGGUACCAUAGGAGGAAGCCCCGGCUAACUACGUGCCAGCAGCCGCGGUAAUACGUAGGGGGCAAGCGUUGUCCGGAAUCACUGGGCGUAAAGGGUUCGCAGGCGGAAAUGCAAGUCAGUUGUGAAAGGCAGAGGCUCAACCUCUGUAAGCAAUUGAAACUGUAAUUCUUGAGAUGUGGAGAGGCAAGUAGAAUUCCUAGUGUAGCGGUAAAAUGCGUAGAUAUUAGGAAGAAUACCGGUGGCGAAGGCGACUUGCAGGACACAAAAUGACGCUGAGGAACGAAAGCGUGGGUAGCAAACAGG
rnacentral:rRNA from 1 species